rnacentral:lncRNA from 1 species
AAGAGCAAGAAGGGUUGGGGCGAAGACGAGCCAGAUGAAGAGUCACACACACCCCUCCCUCCGCCCAUGAAGAUCUUUGACAACGACCCCACACAGGAUGAGAUGGUAGCUCUGGAAGGAGGCUCUUACCGGGGGAGCUUGAAGGACCCUACAGGCUGCCUGAAUGAGGGGAUGACCCCUCCCACACCUCCUAGAAACCUGGAAGAAGAACAGAAAGCCAAGGCGCUGAGAGGCAGGAU